AGAGAAAUUUGGAUUAAUACCUCAUAAUAUUGUGAUUUGGCAUCAUUUCACAAUUAAAGCUUCGGCGGUUAAAGAUGAGCAUGCGUCCUAUUAGUUAGUUGGUAAGGUAACGGCUUACCAAGGCAGCGAUAGGUAGGGGGCCUGAAAGGGUGAUCCCCCACACUGGUACUGAGACACGGACCAGACUCCUACGGGAGGCAGCAGUGAGGAAUAUUGCGCAAUGGAGGAAACUCUGACGCAGCCAUGCCGCGUGCAGGAAGACGGCCCUACAGGUUGUAAACUGCUUUUAUAUAGGAAGAAACCCCGAUACGUGUAUCGGCUUGACGGUACUAUAUGAAUAAGGACCGGCUAACUCCGUGCCAGCAGCCGCGGUAAUACGGAGGGUCCAAGCGUUAUCCGGAUUUAUUAGGUUUAAAGGGUCCGCAGGCGGGAUUUUAAGUCAGUGGUGAAAGCCUACAGCUCAACUGUAGAACUGCCAUUGAUACUGAAAUCCUUGAGUGUGGUUGAAGUGGGCGGAACAUGUCAUGUAGCGGUGAAAUGCAUAGAUAUGACAUAGAACACCAAUUGCGAAGGCAGCUCACUAAGCCAUUACUGACGCUGAGGGACGAAAGCGUGGGGAGCGAACAGGAUUAGAUACCCUGGUAGUCCACGCCGUAAACGAUGAUCACUCGUUGCUAGCGAUACACUGUUAGUGACCAAGCGAAAGUGUUAAGUGAUCCACCUGGGAAGUACGUUCGCAAGAAUGAAACUCAAAGGAAUUGACGGGG
rnacentral:rRNA from 1 species